AUGCACAUGUUUUAAUGUUUUCUCUCUUACUGUAACUUCAGGACGGGACGAUUGACUUGAGCUUCUUCACGGCAGAUUGUUUCCACUUCACUAUUAAGGGACAUGAGGAGCUGGCAAAGGGACUGUGGAACAACAUGUUCCAGCCUGUUGGAGGGAAAGAGACGAUAAAGACAUUUUCAGAGCCAAUACAACUCAUCUGCCCAUCAAAGAAGCAUCCUUACAUCUACACCAGGCCCCGAGUUGAGUCGUCUGCACCGACGCUGAAACAUUUCUCCAUGACGCUGAUGUCUCUACUCUUAGUGUAUUUAAUUUAAUUAUGUGUAGUUUAACAAGCAGAGCAAGGCACUAACACUGCCUGGAUAGACUGGAACCACUGCUCCUAAAAACACAUAGACUCGGGAAACUCAUUUUAACUAACAAUGUAAUAUCACCAUGAAAC